rnacentral:rRNA from 1 species
UUUUCUCAAGGAAGAUAAUGACGUACUUGAGGAAUAAGCAUCGGCUAACUCUGUGCCAGCAGCCGCGGUAAUACAGAGGAUGCAAGCGUUAUCCGGAAUGAUUGGGCGUAAAGCGUCCGCAGGUGGUUUAAUAAGUCUGCUGUUAAAGCGUCAUGCUUAACAUGAUAAGGGCAGUGGAAACUAUUCGACUAGAGUAUGUUAGGGGUAGAGGGAAUUCCCAGUGUAGCGGUGAAAGGGGUAGAGAUUGGGAAGAACACCGGUGGCGAAAGCGCUCUGCUAGGACAAUACUGACCACUAGGGGUCCAAUUGUGUG